AAAUUACAUCACCAUCAUUUGCUGGAGCAUAUUUUUUGGAUCCAAAUAUCUUAAAUAUCAGUUUUUUAUACCAAGCAGCAAACUAGCGACUAAAAAACGAAGUGACCUAAAUCUCAGCUUUGCCCCGUUGUCUCCGCGAAGAGCAAUACAGAUGCAGAGCAGAGCAGGAUCAUCGUCUCGCCGAGCUCGUGAAAAUAUACAGGACCUGAGACUGGCGGCGCUGUAAAGACACGAGGUACCGACUGACUACCGCCGCCGCCUUCUGUAUUUUCGGAGUUUCAGUUCAUUGACCAAAAAAGAUGUCACACGAAAGGACUUUGGAGGAAGUUGUGUCCCCCUUUCUCAUGCAGUUAUCGAAAGCACGAGUUCAUUCGUUGACACUGGAUGGGGAUAGUUUACCUUCAGAGAUCAAACUUCUGUUUGAAAAUAUCGAGAGAGAAGCACGUGACAUGGAAGAUGUACUAAAGCGGGUGUCUAGAUGGGAAAGUGAGAUUAUCAAUGACUUUGGAGGAAUAGCUCGGCAUUUAGAUGACAUCAUAGAAGAAGAUACCCAGCAGCAAUUUGUACAUUCUAAGCUUCAGAUCGUGAACACUGAAAUGUCCAACUUAAAAGACCGCUUGAAAUUUCCUCUCCAUGUUCCUUUGAUCAAGUCAGCAGCUCCUGUGUUGUUAUCAUCAUCUUUACCAUCGAAAUUGCUGUCCGCAAAUGCUUCAGAGCAAUGGAAAAAAUUGGAGAUUGAGAGGAAAAUCCUUGAGAGCUCCACGAUAUCUAGCUUGCAGCUCAGCUAUUAUAAUCUUGACCUUCAGCUGAAGCUGUGCUUGUUAUGCUUCUCUGUAUUCCCAGAAAAUUCCAUUAUUAGCAAGAGGGCCAUGAUCCAUUGGUGGAUUGGUGAAGGGUUAGUAGAAGCCACAAGAAGUCAGACAGCUGAAGAUAUUGGGAAGGAGUGCUUUGAGAAGUUGAUCACUGCAGAGAUGAUUGAACAUGUACGCCAUAAACGUAACUGUAGUGUGAACCAAUGCAAGUUGCAUCCUUGGAUUCGGCGUAUGUUGAUUACCGUUGCAAGGCAAGAACGAUUUUUUGAAUUUGAUUCCGAUGGCAGUGCAACAUGGGGCUUUUCAGGUACUCGCCGUGCUUGUCUAGUUGGAGAACAUAUUCAGGCAACAGAAACGGCAUCACUCAGAAAUCAGUCCAAUCCAGAUUACCUUCUUGCAAUAUUCAAUGUGAGCGAGCAAUACCUCCAGUUCGACAAGAAUUGGUUCUUGGAUUUGAGGAAGAUCGAAGUUCUCCAACUAGGUCGGUGGCAUAACUUGUACCGACACCAUAUUGAGGUUGACAGCACGGAAUAUUUGGAAGGGUUGCAGUCAUGCAAACAAUUGAAAUAUCUUUGUCUGCGGGGUAUCUCCCGUAUCACAGAGCUUCCUGCUUCAAUCGGCGCACUCUCAAAUCUCAGGAUCUUGGAUCUCCAUGCUUGUCAUAACCUUGAGAGGCUUACUGAGAGCAUCACGUCUCUUCAGAUGCUGACCCACCUGGACGUUUCAGAAUGCUACCUUUUGGAGGGCAUGCCAAGGGGCAUUGGUUUGCUUACUGAACUCCAAGUGCUGAAAGGGUUUGUCAUUGGUGGAUCUACAGGCAAGUACAAUUGUCAGGUAGCGGAGCUGAUCAGGCUGGGCAAGCUGAAGAAGCUAAGCAUAUAUAUUGGAAGCAAAGUUCUAGUGACAGAAGACGAACUGCAUGAAGUUGAGAACAUCAAAGCCCUUUGUGUGCUGACAAUUACAUGGGCUGUGUUGCUGUCAAAGAAAGGAGCGGAUGAACAAGAUUCAGCAGCAACGGCAUUGUUAAAUUCGUUAUCCCUUCCUCCCCAUCUUGAGAAGCUAGACUUGCGUUGCUUCCCUGGCGAGAACAUGCCGGUUUGGUUGAGUCCGAGUAGGCUGUUGAGAUUACGCAGGCUCUACUUCACAGGAGGAAUGCUGCGCACUUUUGGAGAGAAGCGCAUGUCUGAGCAGUGGAACAUUGAGAUAUUGCGUUUGAAGUUCUUGAAUGACUUGGUACUAGAAUGGACCCAGGUGAAUGAGAUGUUUCCAAACCUGACCUUCCUGGAGGUAUUCAGAUGUAGCAACAUAGAAUCUUUCCCUUGUGACAAGGAUGGAGUGUGGAUGAACUACGAUACCCAGGAAACCAGAGAGUAGAGCAAAGCACCAAAUAAAGUGAGUUCUCAUUAUUACAUAUGUAAUAAGUCAAUUUCUGCCCUCAAUGUUGAAACAAAAAUACAAAGGAAAAAAAGAAGAUGCACGAAGCCAGGCUUUUUCAUGUGAGCGCAUUGUCAGGAAAGAGUGAUGUAUUAAUGGAAAGCAAGUUUGAUCAGAGUCUCUACCAAAGUUGUGCAAGUUAUGGUCAGUCUCUCUCACACAUGUUAUUUCACGGCGUCAUGCAGAAGUUUGUUACGGCCUUCAAGUGAAAAUUUACUAGCCUUUUUAACUUUCUACAAAAUGUAUGUUUGUCUUGAAUUUUUGUCAUAAUAUAUUUGUGAAAGCCAUAAA